rnacentral:misc_RNA from 1 species
GAAAUGCGAUAAGUAGUGUGAAUUGCAGAAUUCAGUGAAUCAUCGAAUCUUUGAACGCACAUUGCGCCCCUUGGUAUUCCAUGGGGCAUGCCUGUUCGAGCGUCAUUUGUACCCUCAAGCUAUGCUUGGUGUUGGGUGUUUGUCCUUGUAUUUAGUGCGAGGACUCGCCUUAAAGUAAUUGGCAGCCAGUGUUUUGGUAUAAAGCGCAGCACAUUUUGCGAUUUAAUCCAAUAAUAUUAGCAACCAACAAGCUCAAUUUAACACUUUUGACCUCGGAUCAGGUAGGGAUACCCGCUGAACUUAA